AAUGAACGCUGGCGGCAUGCCUAACACAUGCAAGUCGAACGAACCCACCGGGAGAUCUUGCUCUUGAGGGUGGCGCGGGGCGGACGGGUGACGUGUACAUAGCAUACCUCUUGGACGGGGGUGAUAACGUGGGAAAACUUCUUCUACCACAUCAUAUAUCCUACGGGUGAAAGCAAGAGUUCUUCGCACUUUUCGCGAUGGUAUAAGCCGAUGCCGGGUUAGCUAGUUGGCUGGGUAAAGGCACAACAAGGCCACGAUACGUAGCUGGUCUGAGAGGAUGAUCCGCCACACUGGAACUGAGACACGGUCCAGACUCCUACGGGAGGCAGCAGUGGGGAAUCUUCGGCAAUGGGCGAAAGCCUGAUGCAGCCAUACCGCGUGAGUGAUGAAGGCCUUCGGGUUGUAAAGCCCUGUUGUUGGGAAAGAAAAAAAGCAGGUUUAUCCCCGGCUGUUUUGACGGUACCUAAAGAAUAAGCACCGGCUAACUUCGUG
rnacentral:rRNA from 1 species